CUGAAACUCGCCUGCACGAAGUUGGAGUUGCUAGUAAUCGCAGAUCAGAAUGCUGCGGUGAAUGCGUUCCCGGGUCUUGUACACACCGCCCGUCACACCAUGGAAGUUGGGGGGUGCCCAAAGUCGGUUAGAAAAUAAACUGCCUAAGGCAAAACCAAUGACUGGGGUGAAGUCGUAACAAGGUAUC
rnacentral:rRNA from 1 species